GCCCUCCCAAUGCAUACCACAGGCAGUGUUCUUGUACACUGACUGUAUAGAAGAGGAGGUACAAUAAAAUGCUCCCCAUAUACACCUCAAACCAGGCCCCUUUGCCUGGUCUGUAUUGUGAAUGGGGGGGACAAAA